AUAUAGUCGGUCUCACACCGUCUAUUCUUGCCGGUUUUGACAAAUACAAGGUAUGUUUAAUGUUGUUUCUUGUUCUGCCUAUACAUAUUCACUCCUGCCAACUUAAACUCACUCAAGACUAUUAAAUGUAACCGUGUUGUAUAUAAAAAUGCACUAUUUACCCUCUCCUUUCGCUUUUCAUUUACGAUAUUUUGUCUCUCGCACGACUUUCAUUUUAUAUUUCACACCAAACACUGUCCAAGUGUCUACUAUAGGUUGUAAAUGAAAUAUCUAUGUAAUACCUCGAUUUAAACGAGGAGGAGGGAAACGGGCACAAACCGAAUGCUCGGCUAAUGACCAAGCAUUUUUUUCUUCCUCGUGAAUACAGGAAGCGUCGAUACUUCCUAGGGCUAAAUAGCGGUGGUGUAAUUCACUUACGGGACUGUCACGUUAUGUUGACAAUAUACAACCACUCUGUUGCUUUUAUAAUUUUGCCGCAAAAGGUUUGUGGGACGAGAUACAAAAGUAUAAGAUUUGUUGUUUGGUCGUUUAGAAGGUUUCUUUUCUAUUCAGGAUGUAUAUUGUCGUCGUUGUUCUCUGGAAAAUCCCUGACUGUCUACAUGCGCCCCUUAAAGGAAUCUUAAUAUACUAUCUUAGAACGAAAACCAACUGUUGCCGACAUAGCCUAUUAUUUCUGUUUUAGCUAACCCUUGUCUACUGUCCAGUUUCGCUUCUUUGAGUACCGAUUCACUUACAUCGCUAUACAUGUAUUGUUUUGAGGAAAAAAAAAACGUGGCUAUUUCUAGAUCUCAUCUCUCUAUCCCUUUAUAACACAUAUCUGACCGUCAGAUGGGUGUCAGGCGUAGGAGAGCACCGAGCUAAAUACUUUGUUUCUUGUAGUUUGAUAUCUAUGUCCAGAAUCGCUAACCAUAUUGUAAUAAAUGCACCAUUUAGUUCUCUCGUUCAACCAUGCAAGUUACAAUAAAAUAGAGGUAAUUUCAUAACCUAGUUGGACUCUUUUAGUCCCUUUUUACAUGUCAAGGAAAGGAACAUAACGAAUGAUUCCUUAACCUGGACGUUGAAACUGUUACAGAUAGAGAAAUUUCCUUCCUAUUUCACCAUACCAUCUCUCUAAGCUUGCUCCAUCAUAACUGAACCUAGGCUACACAAACAACAAUAGAGAAAGAGACCUCACGGAGCGGUAAAGUAUAAUUGAAAUGAAUACUUCGAAAGGAAGAGAAAAUGAUUAUGAAUGGCAAGAGGAAAUAAAUAAGGCGGCGGAUUGGUCGAAGUGUUGGAGGAGUGUCGACAAGAAUUGCCUCACGAUAUCCAUUGGCUGCGCUUGGAGUUUAAAUCCCGGUUAGGUCACCUUGCCUUUCAUCCUUCCAAAUUCAGUAAAGUACCUGUUAAGUAUUGGGUGGUAGCAAUUCUUUUCUCUUUCUGUCCAUGAUACGUUUGACUCGGAGAGGGGUUUACUUACAGUGUCUCUUUCUCAUGAACUAGGGAAGAUUGGGCGAAAGUUAACGAUCUCAAAGGAAAACUGAUACAAUGUGACUGUGUGGUAAGAAACUUGCUAGCCAACUGCAUGGUUCCGGGUUCAGUCCCAGUGCGUGACAACCUGGUCAAGUGUCUUCUACUGUACCCUCGGGCUGGAUUUCGUUGACGGAAAGUGAAAGAAGAGCGGUCGUGUGUGUGUAUAUAUAUAUAUAUAUAUAUAUAUAUAUAUUUAGGAUAGGAGCACUCCGUCAAUUACGACGACGAGGGUCCCAGCUGAUACGAUCAAUGAAAGUUUGCUCGUGAAAUUAACGUGCAAGUGGCUGAGCAUUCUACAGACACGUAUACCCUUCACGUAGUUCUCGGGGAGAUACAGUACGACACAGGGUGUGACAAGGCUGGCCCUUUUGAAAUACUGCUAUUACUCAUUUUUGCUAGCUGAGUGGACUGGAGCAACGUGAAAUUAAGUGUCUUGCUCAAGGACACAACGCGUCGCCGGUAAUCGAACUCACGACCUAUCAAUCGUUAGCAGAAUAGCCCUAACCACUAAGCCACGCGCCUUCACACACACAUACACACACACACACACACACACACACACACACACGUGUGUGUGUAUCUUUGUGUCUAUCUGUCUCUCCAUCACCAUCUGACAACCGGCUUUGGUGUGUUUACACGCUGAUAGAAUAAGCACUAGGCUUACAAAGAAUAAGUCCUGGGGUUGAUUUGUUCAACUGAAGGUGGGGCUCCAGCAUGGCCACAGUCAAAUGACUGAAACAAGUAAAAGAACAUAAGAAUAAUCCUUUGUGUUAAUAAAAUCUAGUCCCUAAAUUUUUGUUGUUAAACUUAGGUAAGAGUCAGCAGUUAAUUGCAAUUUUCAUAUCUGAGAACCUGUUUUUCAUAGGAGUUUCAUAUUUAUCUACAGCUUUAGGUUAGAAUAAGGGCUAUAAACAGAUAUACUCUUUUACUUGUUUCAGUCAUUUGACUGUGGCCAUGCUGGAGCACCGCUUUUAGUUGAGCAAAUCGACCCCAGGACUUAUUCUUUGUAAGCCUAGUACUUAUUCUAUCAGUCUCUUUUGCUGAACCGCUAAGUUACGGGGACGUAAACACAUCAGCAUUGGUUGUCAAGCGAUGUUGGGACAAACACAGACAUACAAACAUAUACACACACAUACAUAUAUACGAUGGGCUUCUUUCAGCUUCCGUCUACCAAAUCCACUCACAAGGCUUUGGUCAGCCUGAGGCUAUAGUAGAAGACACUUGCCCAAGGUGCCACACAGUGGGACUGAACCUGGAACCAUGUGGUUGGUAAGCAAGCUACUUACUACACAGCCAUUCCUACGCCUAUAUAUAAAUAAACACUUAAAUAUUCAACUUGUAAUUUUGUGUCAAAAUCCUUUUUGUCCUUAAUAUCCACAAACAUAUGGCAGCAAUGACAAAUGAUGGCGACCUUUGGCAAUAUGCUGUGCUUGUGAAGAAGACCCAUCAAACCAAGUGAAAUCGUAGAUGUGGCACAUACUGGUGUCAUGCAACUGGCACCCAUGCCGGUGGCAUGAAAAAGCACCCAUUACUCUCUUGGAGUGGUUGGCGUUAGGAAGAGCAUCCAGCUGUAGAAACCAUUCCAAAUCAGACUGGAGUCUGUUGCAGCCCCUCAGCUUACCAGCCCUGGUCAAACUGUCCAACCCAUGCCAGCAUGGACAAUGGAUGUUAAACAAUGAUGAUGAUAUACACUCCUAACCUAAUUAUCAAGGAGAAUCAAUGUGUUUGUAUGACAAGGCUGGUCUGUUGAAUUAUAAGGGACAGUCAAACCAGCAGGCUUCCAAACAUUUUCUGUCUCGCCUACUCAUAAGGCUUGGGUUCAACCUGAAGCUAUGUUAUUCAUCUUGGGCAAGUAGAAUCAAAUUUGGGAUGUCCUGAUUGAGAAUUCUUAACCAGGUGAGCUCAGUGAGCUCACCUGUUGUUAGAAAACUAAAGAUAUAUAUAUAUAAGGCAGCUAAUGUUUCCCAAUUGAUUAUUCAUUUAAGUGCAUUGAUCAUAGCAGUGAUGCAUUGCUUAACUUCGCUGAUUGGAUAAGAACCAGUGUUUUCAAGCUAAUAUACUUGUAAAUUAGUCUACAAUGGGAGUGUAUAUAUCAAUAACAUGUUCUGUCUUUGCUGUUAUUGAUGCCUAUUUUAUUGACCUUAAUUCAAGUUGAACCAAGAACAAUAAAACAUGACACCGGGUGUUGUAACUUAUCUAAAUUUGUUGUUGUUACAAUCUUAAACUAAUCUUGAAACUGAUAAAAUAUUUUUUGUACAAACAUGAAGCAUUCAUUUGCUAAUGCUUCAUCUAUAUUAGGUCUUACCAUUAACUUACUAAUUACUUUUAACUUUUAUAAUGUCAGUGACCUGAUAUAUAUUUCAAGUUUCUUGUGACCAAGUUGUUGGUGACUAAUCCAGCAACUCCACCAACUCUGCUUUGGGGAAUUCAGUAAUCUUUAAAACCUGUCAAAGAUUGAAUGAACUUGGAAGUCAGUGGUCAUUUGCUAACAUGUGUCUAUGCAUGUACAUUGAUAUUUACUUGCAUAUAUACAUGGGAAAAGGGUAGUCUUAGUUGAAACUUGUGAUAUUUGAUGUCUCUGACCAUUUCUCCAUUUGUUUUUCCUUUUUGUUAGCUUCAGAUCUUUAGCAACAUUUUUACAUAUAAAAUUUUGUGUGGGUGCUUUUUAUACCUCUCUUUUUUUUUUUGCUUCUUUCUUGCUCGAGUGUCUGAUCUGAAGCAAAAGCCACUACAUUAUAUUUGCUUUGAAUAUAUAUUAGUUUGGAUAUUCCACCUAUUAUUAAGUUCCCAGCUCUUCAUAAUUAUCUUCAGUUAUAGUAAUCUUUUUGAAAACAAGAUGCAGUGAGUCCAUGUUUUCCUAAAAGGGAAACAUCUUAGACCCUUCUAACUACUGUCCUAUCACAUUCACUUCCUACAUUUCAAAGGGGAUUGUGACAGCCAUUAAGAAUAACUCCCUUCAUUACAUUGAAUCUCAUUUCCUUUUUAAUGACCACCAGUAUAUCUUUUGUAACAUUAAAUGUUCCAGUGUCCUACUCUUAUAUGUUACAUGUAGAGAUCCACACUUAAUAAAUUUAGUGAAAGUAGUAUUGUUACCUUCAGCAGUAUUAAAACUUUUAAACCUGGCUAGCAUGCAAAUCUGCUAGCAAAACUGUUCUACCUCUUGUGUUGCUGACUCUCUGUCAUUUCAACUAUUAUGGCAUAUGUUGAGCUCUCUGUGGCCUGUAUUCUGUCAACUUUGAUGUGACCUCAGGGUUCAGUUUUGUCCUUCACACAAUUUCUCCUGUAUGUUAGCAAUCUACUUUCUGUCACUUCUAACAAUGCACACUUCUACACUGAUGAUAGCACCUUUCAUUCCUCCCUAACCUAAUUUUAAGCAUUAUCAACACUCCCCAUACCAAACCUGUACUGGCUUCAUAAACAGAGAAUUCAUAAAUCUCCUUCGACAAUACAAAUAUAAAAAUCACUACACACAUUGAUAAAACUUUAUUCCCCACCACCCCAAAUUCAAGCAGCAUGCAACUAGAAACCUCAAAUUUGCUAUGAAUGCUAGACCUCACCAUCAGUGAGGAUCUCUUCUGGUGAACACACAGCCUUGACAUAACAAACACUGUAUUACAAAACUUCAACACCAGAAAAUAUUUCAGAUCCUUAACAGCUAUUAAUCGUCUACAAAGCUCAACUUUUGAAAUGGAGCACUAUUCUUGUAACUAGGUCUGCAGAUGCUACACACACUCCUGGAUUUGACAUGCUACCUUUGCUAAUAUUACUAUAGUCUCUGAUUUUGAGAGCUGGACAACUGGUCUCACUUAUGCAUUCCAAAUCUGCUACCUCCACUUAUGCACCCCCAAUUUGCUUCUCUCCCUUUCAUUAUCUAAACCAUUUAAAAGCCUCACUCUCCAUUAAGGGCUCUCUAACUACCUCCCCAGAACUCCUUCCCUGCACAUACUUUAUUUGCAGUCAUCUAUUUGCAAACAUUUAAGAGGAAUAUUACCAACAUGAGUGUCUGGUCUUAGGGGGCCAGUGAAAGAUAUGCGUACAGACCCUUCUACUAGACCGGGCUGAUACAAAUCUUUUUUAUUUGAUGAAAAUCAAGUCAAUGUAGUCACUUAUUUUGUUAGAAACAGUAGCUGAAUGUUCCUCAAACCACAUGCUACUGAAAUAAAGGACAUAUUGGUUAAUGUAAUCUGGGGUACACUAUACAUAGAUAAAAACUGAUAGUCUAGCUACAAUUGAUCAGAGAUCUACCAAAUCAGGGCUAAAUAGGGCUAAAUAAUCAAUAUCUUCUUUUUCAGCAUACAGCUACCAUUUCCUUUUUUGGAAAAAUCAUUCUAGCAAACAGAAAAGUGGGAUAUUUGAAUAUCUAUUUUGAAAUUGGCACUUGACCACAAAUUAUAGAGGAGAAUAUAAUCAAAUAUAUCUCAUUUUAUGUACGUCUUGCAAGGGAAAGUUUACUGGUGAAGGCUUCUUCUCUUUGCAGCUCCAACUAAUUGUUGUCUCUCUCUUGUCUAAAUCUGAGUAGCCCUCUCCUCUACAACAAGAAACCUGCUCUGCUCUCUUCUCUUAAACUUUAACCUCUCAUCUCUUUGUAUAAGGACCUGCCUUGUGGUUUAUAGUCUCAUAAGCUGCACAGCAACCCCACGGGUGCUGAUGGGGAAAAAAAAAGCACCACAGUAUCCACUAUAUAGUGGUUGACAUUAGAAAGGGCAUCUGACCAUAGAAAUGAUACCAAAGAAGAUACUGGAGUACAAUGCAGUCCUUGCACUUGCCAGGUCCUACCAAACCAUCCAGCCUAUACCUGCAGGGAACCUGGAUGUUAAAUUAUGAUGAUGAAUGUAAAGGGAUGCGACUAAACACUAAAACUAAUUUUCCCUGGUAGUUUACAGAUUCUAUUUUUUGUCACUUUAUUGGAUUGCAAUAACCAUCAGAUUUAAUAUUCGCAUUUUAAUUUUUCUGUUUAUCUCUUCUGAAGUAUCCUCCAGUUUUUUUGGGUUUUUUUUUUGUUGACAUUCUUUGAUAGUUGUAACAUAAUUACAUCUCCUUUGUACAGGCAGUGAUGGUUGCAAUUAAUUGAUUCAUAAACAACAGUUGUGGCUGUGUGAUAAGAAGUUUGCUUCCCAACCACAUGAUUCCUAGUUCAGUACCAUUGCAUGACAUGUUGGGCAAGUGCCUUCUACUAUAGCCUCGGGCUGACCAAAGCCUUGUGAGUAGAUUUGAUAGAUGGAAACUAAAGAGAGAAGUUCGUCAUAUAUAUAUAUAUAUAUAUAUAUAUAUAUAUAUAUGGGGGUGGAUGCUCUGAAAGUGUAGCUGCUAGAGUAAGGAUAGCCUGGGCAAAAUUCAGAGAGCUCCUACUUCUGCUGAUGACAAAGGGCCUCUUGCUUAGAGUAAAAGGUGUACUGUAUGACACGUGUGUGAACAGCUAUGCUAUGUACCAGUGAAACAUGGGCCGUGAUUGCUGAGAACAUGUGUAAGCUUGCAAGGAAUGAAGCCAGUAUGCUCCGCUGUCAAACUGACCUUCUCCAAUUAUGACAGUAAAGAAAAAUGUUAGACAUUAAUGGUGGUGGUUAUAAGUUUCUGCUGCUAAAUUUAUCUAUUGAAAUUAAGGAGUGAAGGUUGAUCCUAUAACAUUGAUAGACUAUUAUGAAAACUAUAUUUCUAAGUUGUGUCUUUUCAUGCCUUAUAAUUUAACACACUCACCAGUAAAAUUUCCACUUAUUUCUUAUCUUUAUUUUCCUAAAAUUUUUGUUGCGUCUUGCAACCUUUUCAAUAGUCUCGACUCAAGACUACUGAGAAGAAUGCAAGACACAAUGCAAAGUUUAGGAAAAUAAAAAUAAGAAAUAAAUGGAAAUUUUACUGGUGUGUUAAAUUAUAAGGCACAAAAAGAAAAUGACUCUCCCCAGACACAACAGAAUAUGCUUCAACACAUGAACUCACAUAAAGAAUCUUGCAAACUAAAUCCAAAAACGAAAUAUAUUUCUAAGUAUGUUUGUGAAAAUGUUUUGGAAAUAUUAGCUAUCAGGAGUGUACCUAAAUUUUGCAUGACAAUUAAAGGGUCAGAUUCUUUCUCUAUGAAAGACAUAACAUGACUGUUACAUACAUUUUUCUUUCUUGUCAACUAAUAUUUUAAAAUGUUUGAGCCUACAAACAAGGUUGUAUGUAUGUGCUUCCAUAUGGAUUUAUCUGGUUCUUGGAAAGAGUAGGUUUUUUUCGGAAAUCAUAUUUAAAAUAGAUGUAGUGUUUCUUUGACACUAUCACGAUAUUUAUAGUGAGUAUUUAAGUUAUUUUGAUGUCCAUUCCACCUCUCCCCACCAAGCCAGAAUUAGGUCAAGUGAAAGUAGUUUAUUUUAGUUUUCUGGAGAUGAAUUAUGUUUGAGUAAUUGUAAAUGUUACAAGGUGGUCACUGAAGCAAGCUUGUUGGAGUUAAUUAAGGUGGCGCUCCAGCAUGCCUGCAGUCAAAAUGAAACAAAUUAAUGAUUGUUAGAUUUCUAGAGAAUCCAUAUUAUAAAUACCUGAUAAUUGACUGAGUUUAUAGAAUAAUUGCUUCAUGAAAAAAGUGUUGACAUAUUGUAUGUUAGACUGAACAAAAGGUUUAUGUACGAGGAGGUGAUGAAAAGUUCCUGUCUUUGGGUAUAAGAAAGAACAGGAGGAUCAGUUAAUUAUGUUUUUAUUCAACAUAUUUCCCUCUCAGAUUCACACACUUGUUACAGUGGUCCUUCAGUUUUCCUAAACCCUCUAAAAGAACUUAGAAUGUUGGAUGCCAACUUGACCUUUCAUAAUACCCUAAAAGCCAGGAGCUUUUUAGCACUCGCUCAUAUUAUUUAAUAAAUAGGUAACAUUAGUUCAUACAGUGCAAUGUAAGCAGUGGAGAUGCUGUGUUUUGUUAACUUGUUUGGUUUAACCCUUUAGUGUUUAAACCGGCCAUAUCUGGCUAAAAUAUUUUACCUAUUUUAUGUUCAAACUAGUCAGAUAUAGUCAUUCAUAGCUAUUUUAUUGUGUCAUUUUAAAAAUAAAGAAUCACAUCAUUGAAAUCUCAAAGCCAUGAAAUGAUACAAGAUUAAUUUUACAUGGUGUGAAUACAUAAGCUUUACAUUUUACAGAAUAAUCUGAAUGCUAAAGGGUUAAACCACAUGCUUCCCGAACUUCGUGGAGAAAGAUAGGAACCAUCAAGCCAAUUUUUCUAUAGAUACUCUUUAUUUAAUUGAAUACUGUUACUAAAUGAGUUAUGGGACUUAUUUUCACCAUAUUGUAAACAUUAGAAAAUUACUAUUUUUUAAAAUCUCACGACGAGAGAUAUUCAGCAACAGUACUUUGGAGUAAAUAUUUUUGCCAACAUAACAUGGCAGUCCUGGUUUAGGACGAAUGUUGCUGUAAUUUAGCCCCAGGAGACAUUUGCUAUUGUAGUUUUUCUCAGUGGUUGAUGAAAUAACUACUUAUUGGUUGCUUAUGAAACCCCCAUCGUGUCUAUUGUUUAAAAUAUUCACCAACUUGUAUCCAACACAUACUGAUUCUCUAUCUGCUUCAUUUACAGUAUUUUCAGUGAGAAAACUGCAGUGAUUGACUGUUCUAUUAUUUAAAUCUAAAGUUAACUGUUAAUUCAGCUCUAUAAAUACAGUGCCCUUGCUGCUAAUGGUAGUUAGCUAUAAUUGUCCUACUUUCAGAUAGACAAGUCCAUUGAGAGUCAAGUGCUGUGCUUAUUUAUGAACAUUGUACCAGUGAUGGGAGAGAAAUCGUCACUCCACUCAACACCUAAUAUCCUAAUAAUCUAUAAUGUUACACCUUUUUGUUAGAAUCAAAUAAAUAUGAAUAGCAAACAUUUUAACACCAUUUGAUCUGCUUAAGCAGGGGUUAGCUAAGUGACAGGGACAGUGAUGCCUUGCCAUUUCACCUCGAGUUCUGGUCAAUAAAUCUAUGAUAAUUCCAUCUGUUACUGUCCUGUUUUUUUUUUUUUUUUGUAUAUCUAGAACAGUGUUAUCCAAUGUAUUCUACUUAUAUAAAUGAUAGUGUAUUUUUUUUUAGGGAGCUUUAGCUGCUAUUUUCAGCAAGUUGAACAGCUAAAUUGAGGUUCUCUUAGGUUUGUCGCAGAUAUUGUUGUAUGAGUACCUCCUUUUAACAUGGAGGUAAUUGAGUAAAUGUUUGGUUAUGACUCAUGGUAUCAAUUAGUCUAGUUGUUCAUCACCUGUUCCAAUAUGCUGCAUAUAUUUCCUCUUAUUGAUCUGGAAGUUGAUCUUGGUAGUAUUAGCACCUAAAAUAGCUAUCUAGCUGGCUGUUCAUCAGUUGUACAGGGUGGACCUUCAUACUGCUAUCAAGUCUAGUGUGGUCAUUCUGCUUGAAACUUUAACUCCUGGCGGACUAAAUAAAUACUUUCUCUUAAUUUGGUACAAAAAUGUUUUUGCCAAAAGACAAUAUAACACCUUUUAGAGUUCAUCUAAUAUUCUGGUAUUACCAAUUUUCAUUGGUUGAAUUUUAACUCUAUAGUUUUGGGUUAAUGGACUAAUCGCUCCUGACACUGCUGCUCCCAUUUUUCUAUGAUGUUUCCAGCCUUGUUUCUCUACCCUUCUCUCUCUAUUGCUUUUGUCUGUUUUCCAUGUUUCACUUCUAUUUUAUUUUCAUCUCUUUUUCAUCCUGUCAUUCCUGUCUUUUCUCUGCUAUCUCUCUCUCCUCUUCUCUUUCUUUCUACUUAUUUCCCUUCUCACAUUCUCUGAGCCUAUCCCUCUCUCUCUCUUUCAUCCUCUUCUUUUUCCCUCCUUGUCAAUGCCUCUUGUCACCACUGAAUUAUCCCCCUGUCUUCUCUCUCUCAUUUUCCCUUUGCUCUCAACCAUAUAUUUAUUUCUUUACUACUCACAAGGGGCUAAACACAGAGGGGACAAACAAGGACAGACAAAUAGAUUGAGUCGAUUAUAUUGACCCCAGUGCGUAACUGGUACUUAAUUUAUCGACCCCAAAAGGAUGAAAGGCAAAGUCGAACUCGGUGGAAUUUGAACUCAGAACGUAACGGCAGACAAAAUACGGCUAUGCAUUUCGCCCGGCGUGCUAACGUUUUUGCCAGCUUGCCGCCUCAACCAUAUAUUACCAUAUCUCUAACCUUGUCUCACAUACAAACACUAUAAGCAUAGCAAAUGGCAAAUUCACAGAUUUAAAGUAAUUCUCUCUCAAAAAUGUGAUGAGAUCAAUUCUUGUAUCGAUGUUAUCUUGAUUUAAAACUCAGAAAAACAAUCAUCGUUAUUGUAAAAAUAAUGCUAAUUUUCUAUCUAGCUUCCUGUGUCAGCUUCUCUUAUCAUGACACACAACUUUUGAAAUCUAAUAAAAACACAAACUGCUGAUGAAGCCAAGCUAAUGAAAAAUAAGAAGUUAGAGAUCAUUAAAAGCAAGAAUGUUAGGGCAUUAGAUAAAAUGUCUUGCUGUAAUUCUUGUAGAUCUUUACGUUUUGAGUUCAAAUCCUGCCAUGGUCAACUUUGCCUUUUAUCCCUCAGGAAUUGAUAAAAUAGAGUUCCAGUCAAAUAUUUAAUUUAAUAGGUUCAAUUUAAAGGACUAACCCUAUGCCUUACGUUUUUAGGUCUUUUGUCUACAUUAGAAACAAUGUUGAAAGAGGAAUGAGGGAGCUUCUACAAAGGUGCUUGUCCUGUUAGAAAUUGCAACCAAAUUUUCGCUCACACUUUUCAAGCUUCAUGGAAGAACAUUUUGGAUUAAUGUAGCCCUUGAUGGAAUACCUUUGAUCACAGAUCUGCUGGAUUCAGUCUGACUUAAGGCUAAACUAUGGCUAAUUAUAAAUUCAUUCUUUGUGGAUGAACCCCAAUGAGUUCUAUCAUAACUUCAUUAACUCUCAUUUUUCAUUUCACAUUGCUGUAAUUAGUUUAGAUAAAAU
rnacentral:lncRNA from 1 species